rnacentral:sRNA from 1 species
UGUAUCUGAAGCCUGACGAGGAUGAGAACCUCCGGGGGCAAGAGGUUCGACCCGAGCGAAGCGAGAGAACGUUGCGUCAGCAACGGCCCGCAGGGCGAGCCAC